GGAGCUGUGGCUUAAGUGGUAGAGUGCUUGCCUAGCAUGCAUGAGGCCCUGGGUUCGAUUCCUCAGCACCA
rnacentral:tRNA from 1 species